rnacentral:lncRNA from 10 species
GAUUCCUGACCCAGAGAAACUGGAACACUAAGGCCCAUUCUUCCUCUCAAGUAUCCAGAAAUAAAGUUGCUCCAAGUAACAAGUGGACAGCAUAAAAGAUUGUAUGGAAACUAUAAUGCAUCUACAUCUGCAGUAACUAAUCAUAAAAUGAUUUGUAUGAUCAUUCUUCACAUGAUUAGAAUUACUAUGGGAAAGAAGAAAAAGAAAUGCAACUUUCUUGAUUUAAAAUUUUAUCUGUGCAAGUGUGGUGGCACACACCUGUAGUCAGUCCCAACUGCUAGGGAGGGUGGGUAGGAUGAUCAUGUGAUACCAGGAGUUUGAGGCUAUGUAGUGUACUAUGAUUGUGUUAGUGAAUAACCAGUGCAUUCCAGUCUGGGCAAUGUAGUUAAACCCCAUUAAAUAAAUAAAUAAAUAA